AACAUAGAAGUAAAAUUUACAUUUAGUUUCGACCUAACAAUAGGAUUAUUAUCCCAUGUUU
rnacentral:tRNA from 1 species